GCCGGGGUGGCGGAAUGGCAGACGCAGCGGACUCAAAAUCCGCCGGUAGAAAUACCGUGAGGGUUCGACUCCCUUCCCCGGCACCA
rnacentral:tRNA from 1 species